GCCCGAUGGCCGGGCCAACCAGCGCGCAGCCCGGACACUAGCCCCUGCUCCCCAAACGUGAUCAGCGCGGGGCUGGCCGUGCCCCGAGCGUGCUGGAAGGCGGGUGCGGUGUCGGGGAGCCCUGGGCCAAGCAGGACCCCGCUGCGGUGCCCGAACCCCGAGCGCAGCACGUAGCGCAGACGCGCCGCUGGCCUCUCCCAGUGCGAGCCCGGAGGGGUCUCUGGAGCAGCUGACUCUGAGCUCAGAAACUUGUGGCUCCACCCGGAGUCUGAGUUAGAUGAGACAUUCGUGGUGCUCCUUGCGUUGGGCCCAAGCCAAAAAAAAAAAAAGAAGUUGGCUGGCUUCUCUUUCUCCACAACUAAGGCCGCACACCCACUCAGAGAUGUCCAGAGAUCAGUUCCCAGCCCCCGGAUCAAGCGGCUCACAUCCACCCUGUAACUCCAGCUUCCGGGGAAUCUACCGCCCUCCUCUGGCCUUUGUGUAACCUGCACACAUGUGCACAUAGAAAAAGACACACACAACAGCGUCCAGUGUGCUCAGCCCAUGUGAGAGCUCAAAGGAGAGUUCGAUUCUUAUGUGCUUGUUUCUACGCUCACCUCAGCAAAGUUAGCACCUGAUCGAGACAGUGAUCACAGCCAUUGCUCAUGGAGUCUUAUCACGUGCCAAACACUGCCAUCAUGUCAUCCGUUGAUACUCACACCACCGUAGGUGGCACUGCCUGUCACAGAUGCCACCUCAGAGAAAAGAAAGCCGUUAGGAGAGCAAUAAACCUGCCCAGGGCCUUCCAAGCAGAGGUGGGAUCAGAACCUGCAUGAUGCAAGAUUGGUAACAACCCCCUGCCUCGUUCUGUCUUCUUCAGUUCCUGGCCAGUUAGAAGGAUGGAGAUAGAGGGGCUUUGUGCAUUACUGGCGUCAAACUCUAUAUUUCACAGUCGAGACAUCUAAAUCCUGAAGAAGACAAGCCGCCGGUGAGGUCAGAGCCAAAACUAGAAUAUCUUAAGAUGAAGAGGGAAUAUUACCAGCUAAAAAGCCAAGGAACUGCAUACAAUAAGAAGAAUGUGCUGUGAUUCUACUUAAGAGGGAAAGAGGUGCAUAGGACGUAGCAUAUUCUCUACCGAAAUGUCAGUUCUUAUCUUGGGAAUGGUGACAGAACCAGUGGUAAAUGUUUUUGUUUUGCUUCUCUGUAGCUUUUGGGUUGUUGGUUUUUUGUUUGUUUGUUUUGUUUUGUUUUUUAAACAAAAAAACACAGAAGGCUUCUGUCAUUAUGAAAUAAAUUUAAAACGAUUUUCAAACUUUCGGAUUCAAGUGACGUGGAGGGCCACCAUGCUGGGUGCCAAGAACCAUGCUGGAAGCCUUUCAAAGGUCCUUAGACUGUCCCCUGCCUCCGUCCUUCUGAAGUUCUCCUGACUCUGCUUUCUCUCCGGCCCCCUGGUGUUGAUUAAUGCUGUCAGAGCAACUUUCUGUUUCAACUUCCAGGGAAAUUUUUCGGGAAAACAGUGCUCUUUCCUAAGAGGAGUCGGAGUAACCUAUA